rnacentral:rRNA from 1 species
GACGAACGCUGGCGGCGUGCUUAACACAUGCAAGUCGAACGGAAAGGCCCUGCUUUUGUUGGGUUCUCGUUUGGCGAACGGGUGAGUAACACGUGAGUAACCUGCCCUUGACUUUGGGAUAACUUUAGGAAACAGGGGCUAAUACCGGGUAGGAGCUCUUGCUGCAUGGUGGGGGUUGGAAAGUUUCGGCGGUGCGGGAUGGACUCGCGGCUUAUCAGCUUGUUGGUGGGGUAGUGGCGUACAAAGGCUUUGACGGGUAGCCGGCCUGAGAGGGUGACCGGCCACAUGGGGACUGCGAGACGGCGCAGACUGCUACGUGAGGCAGCAGUGGAGAACAUGGCACAGUGGGCGGAAGCCUGAUGCAGCAACGCCGCGUGCGGGAUGACGGCCUUCGAGUUGUAAACCGCUUUCGACGGUGACGAAGCGUGAGUGACGGUAAUGGGUAAAGAAGCACCGGCUAACUACGUG